rnacentral:misc_RNA from 1 species
GUGAAUCAUCAAAUUUUUGAACGCAAAUUGCACUCUCCUCGGAGAGUAUGCCUGUUUGAGGGUCAGCCUAUAAAAAAUCGACAUCGUUGCUGGUUCGCGGUGGCGGUCGUCGGAAAUUUGGGCAUCUUAAAUACUUUUUAUUUAAGCGACUUAAAAUUUUCUUUUGGUUCCAUGUAUGUUUCUAAGAUUUAUUUCUUUAUAUGUUUAAGGUACCAAUUUUUAAUUGAUGUUACAA